AGAGUUUGAUCCUGGCUCAGAACGAACGCUGGCGGCGUGCCUAACACAUGCAAGUCGAACGGAAUUAAGGGGCUUGCUCCUUAAUUUAGUGGCGCACGGGUGAGUAACGCGUGGAUAAUCUGCCUGAUGCUCAGGGAUAACAUCUCGAAAGGGGUGCUAAUACCUGAUAAGCCCACGGGGUCUUCGGAUCUUGCGGGAAA
rnacentral:rRNA from 1 species